rnacentral:rRNA from 1 species
GAUUAACGCUAGCGGCAGGCCUAAUACAUGCAAGUUGAACGGCAGCACAGGUAGCAAUACUGGGUGGCGAGUGGCGCACGGGUGCGUAACACGUAUGCAACCUACCCUAUACAGGCGAAUAACCUUUAGAAAUGAGGGCUAAUACGCCGUAGUAUUACAGAUGGGCAUCUAUUUGUAAUUAAAGAUUUAUCGGUAUAGGAUGGGCAUGCGUCCCAUUAGUUAGUUGGUAAGGUAACGGCUUACCAAGACGAUGAUGGGUAGGGGAUCUGAGAGGACUUACCCCCACACUGGUACUGAGACACGGACCAGACUCCUACGGGAGGCAGCAGUAAGGAAUAUUGGGCAAUGGCCGCGAGGCUGACCCAGCCAUGCCGCGUGCAGGAAGACGGCCUUAUGGGUGGUAAACUGCUUUUAUACGGGAAUAAUAGAGUGUACGCGUACAUUUAUGCAAGUAUCGUAUGAAUAAGCAUCGGCUAACUCCGUG